rnacentral:sRNA from 1 species
CUGACAACCCUAAAGAGUUAAGUCCUCUUUCUGUCCACUGAAUAGGAACAGCACAGGCAGCGGCAUUACAAGCGUCCCUCAGACUGGCAUACAGCCAUGCAGCAGGACCACAUCUUUAGGUGAGAGGGUAGCUCAACCCCAACUUCACUCAGUCUUUGGUUUUC